rnacentral:tRNA from 1 species
GACCGCGUAGCUCAGUUGGCAGAGCAUUGGGCUAGUAUUCCAAAGGUCGUGGGUUCCAUUCCAACCGUGGCCG